rnacentral:ribozyme from 14 species
CAGAAGGGAAGAGAAGAGAUGCCUGGUAGUGGGUUUUUUGGAAUUUUCUUCUUCUUCUUUUUUUUUUUUUUUUUUUUUUUUAAAA